ACAUUUGCUCUGGCUGCUCCUCCUGCCAGGCUUGCCCUUACUCCCCUCUUGGUCAUUUCUGGCUCUCACUUUGUUCAAGUUUCCCCUCUGCAUUUAUCCAUCACCCACGGGCCGAGCCUGUCCGCCGUGCCAGGCGCCAGGCCAGGGGUUGAGAUAGAGAUGAAUGGGACACCCGCCCUGCCCUCAAGGAUCUCAUCGGCAAGUGUGGAACAGAGACAUGAAAAUCGAUAAUUAUAACUCAGUGUGAAAGAAUGGAAAAUGCAUUUAAAGCUUUAAAAUGCCUUCUGGGAGUUCGUGCACAUCCUGGAUUCCUGGAUGUGGGUGCCACAGCAUUCCCAGUGUGACAAGGGAAGGGGAAGAGACAUAUGCACACGCAGGAGAACACGAGGCCCGAGCCCGCCUCGCACACGCGGCACGCCUCGCAGCGCCCAGUCGUCUCAUCCUGGUAGUAGCCGUAGGCGCAGCGGCACACGGCGUCGUCGGCCUCCACGCACGGCGCCGACAUGCUCUGAAGCCCCACGCACUCGGUGCACGGCUUGCACGGCUCGGUUGCGCUCACCACGUCGGAGAACGUCACGCCUGAGCGCAGCGGACACCAGAUUUAGUCGUCUGCUCUUUGGGCACCCGGGACGCAGGAGCUGGAGUCUCUCCCUCCCCCAUUGCCUGCCAGGACGCUGACUUCCUCCUUCAGCCUUCUCAUCGGCUCCCACCCUCUUCCAAGGGACCCUGACCCCUAGCCUGUGAAAGUUGGUGGCAGCCAACUGGGAAAGGGGGAGGAGGCCCGGAGCAGCAUCCUCCAGGCUCCAGAAGCACUGGCCGGCCGGGAGGCUUUCCGGCAUAACCCAGCUGGUGCCGGUAAGUUUCUUGGCAAAUUCUCUUUGAGAGUUCCCAGGCCUGUACUAUGUUCCCAGCAUGAUUAAGGAAUAAUCUGAAAGUGGUUCCCACCCAGCCCUCCUCGCGAUCCAGAGCUGGGGUGCUAACCCAGUCCAGGCAAGGUAGGCCUUCCCCUAGGGAGCCUCCUGCCUCAUCUGCCUUCAGUUCCUCUCCACACAGGUGUGGGCUCAGUUGCAGCCUGAAUGGGAGUGACCGGGGUUAGACAGCAGAAUUUCCCACCCAUGGCACUACCCCCACGCUGCUGAAGGGCUUGGAUCCUGAGGGUGGGGACGGACCUGCAGGCAAGAGGGCUCAGGUAAGGCAGGAGCCACUGAAGCUAGAGAGCU
rnacentral:antisense_RNA from 1 species